rnacentral:rRNA from 1 species
AGGACGAACGCUGGCGGCGUGCUUAAUACAUGCAAGUCGAACGAGGUCCAUCCAGUGGCAACACUGGUGAAGACCUAGUGGCGAACGGGUGAGUAACACGUGAGGAACCUGCCCCGAAGACCGGGAUAACCCUUCGAAAGGAGGGCUAAUACCGGAUACCCCCACCAGGUCGCAUGACCAGAUGAGGAAAUGGACUCCGCUUCGGGAGGGUCUCGCGGCCUAUCAGCUUGUUGGUGAGGUAACGGCUCACCAAGGCAUCGACGGGUAGCUGGUCUGAGAGGACGAUCAGCCACACUGGGACUGAGACACGGCCCAGACUCCUACGGGAGGCAGCAGUAGGGAAUCUUGCGCAAUGGGCGAAAGCCUGACGCAGCAACGCCGCGUGGGGGAUGAAGGCUCUCGGGUUGUAAACCCCUUUCAGUAGGGACGAAAUUGACGGUACCUGCAGAAGAAGCCCCGGCCAACUACGUGCCAGCAGCCGCGGUAA